rnacentral:rRNA from 1 species
UGGGGAAUAUUGGACAAUGGGCGAAAGCCUGAUCCAGCCAUGCCGCGUGUGUGAAGAAGGUCUUCGGAUUGUAAAGCACUUUAAGUUGGGAGGGAGGGCAGUAAGCGAAUACCUUGCUGUUUUGACGUUACCGACAGAAUAAGCACCGGCUAACUCUGUGCCAGCAGCCGCGGUAAUACAGAGGGUGCAAGCGUUAAUCGGAAUUACUGGGCGUAAAGCGCGCGUAGGUGGUUCGUUAAGUUGAAUGUGAAAGCCCCGGGCUCAACCUGGGAACUGCAUCCAAAACUGGCGAGCUAGAGUAGGGCAGAGGGUGGUGGAAUUUCCUGUGUAGCGGUGAAAUGCGUAGAUAUAGGAAGGAACACCAGUGGCGAAGGCGACCACCUGGGCUCAUACUGACACUGAGGUGCGAAAGCGUGGGGAGCAAACAGG